rnacentral:lncRNA from 1 species
AUGUAAUCUCAGUUCCGUCCAUUAAAUUUCCUGCAAUGAAUCACCACCACCUCCCCCUUCCCGACCUCUCUGUACAGACAGGGAUACAGUGACUUAUGAGGACAUCACGACGAUACUCUCUGACUCUUGCCCAGCAGUUCGGCGGACCAGCACGGUUACAUUCUGUGGUAUCAUUGCCUCUUCAUCUGCAUAUUCUGCACUCAAGAAUAAGAACAGAAAACAAUAUGUCAAAGCAUUACAAGAAAAAAAACAUCUACUCCCUCCGUAAACUAAUAUAAGAGCGUUUACAAUACUAAAAUAGUGAUCUAAACGCUCUUAUAUUAGUUUACAGAGGGAGUAGCUUUUUAAGUGCGAAAUAAAAUCUAAUCCAGUAUAACCAAAAUAUGCAAUUAAAUAGCAACACUAGCGUGUUUAAAUUGAAACUAAGAUCUUCAAAUAACAUCACAACAAUCAAAAUAACGGUUAAUUUACGUUCAGAAAACUGGGAAACUACGAGCUACUGAGAUGUGCAGGAUGGGAAAAUAUACAAGGAUUACUCGCAAUCACGAUAUGCAAUUUGAACUAUCCAUAGUACAGGGGAUCUAUCGUGCUAUAGGAGCAUAUCACAAGGACAUGCUAGAGAACGAGUAUAGCAGCUCUUCGACUACAACAACAGUAUGUCCUAGUACAUCAUGAAGAGACCUCCAUUACAGUCGUAGUACAUAAGCAAAUAUCAGUACAGCAGGACACGGAGUAAUAUUGACAACCAUGCUCGAGGGUUGCACAAUUCACAUAACAGUUAUGCGAACACAACCAUAGCAUAACUGUCCAUCAAUAUAUGUACAUAAAUAAACAAACACACAAAAAAAAGAUAAACAAGCUGAAUCAGCAUUACUACAGAAAUGAGCCAGCUUAGAAUCGCUGGGGAUAACAUUGUACCAGACAUGUGACAGCAGCAGCUCAGUGUAUGAG